UCCCUGGUAGUCCAUUGCUUAAGACUUCACCUUUCAAUGCAGGAGAUGCAGGUUCAAUCUCUGCUCAGGGAA
rnacentral:tRNA from 1 species